rnacentral:lncRNA from 1 species
UUUCAUUACUCACUUCAUGGAGAGCAAUCUUCAUUCAUUUUUGGAUUCCUCUUUUUCCUCAUGUGCAAGGGAUUAAGUUCACUAUUGAGAUCUUUAAAGACCCAUUUCUCCCAUUUGUCUAGAUAUAAUGAGAUUCAGGUGACAUCAGAGGGAACAGAAAACUGGCCAUUGAGUCACGGAGAUUUGGCUUCCAUUUAUCUCCUGACACAUCCUGGCUGUGUGACCUUGGGCAAGUCCCUUAUACUUCAGUGCUCCAGGGUUUUCUUGGCAAGGAUACUGGAGUGUUGGCCAUUUUCUUCUCCAGAUCAUCUUACAAAGGGGGAAACUGAGUUAAUGAAUGCUAUAGGAGAGAGAAAACAUCUCGAGCUGGAAAGAUUUAUGGGAGUCUUGAUGAGCAGAAUCCUUGGCCAUCUUUGGUCAGUAUGUCAGUUUCAUGGUGAGAAGAGAAACACACCCACUGGGAUGGGUCAAUGACUUAUUCAGUUUCAACCCUGCUAGAUGGAGACAGGUAAGGACACUGGCUAUUCUUAAAACAAGCAAAAGAUCCCCACGAGGCACCUAAUUUUUACGACUGUACUGAGAAAGAUAUCAAAACAGUAGGGCUAAGAAACAAUUUAUCAUUCCAUGGCUGAAGUUACUAUGCC